UCCCUGGUGGUCUAGUGGUUAGGAUUUGGCGCUCUCACUGCCGCAGCCCGUGUUCGAUUCCCGGUCAGGGAA
rnacentral:tRNA from 1 species